AUUGAACGCUGGCGGCAGGCCUAACACAUGCAAGUCGAACGGUAACAGGAAGAAGCUUGCUUCUUUGCUGACGAGUGGCGGACGGGUGUGUAAUGUCUGUGAAACUGCCUGAUGGAGGGGGAUAACUACUGGAAACGGUAGCUAAUACCGCAUAACGUCGCAAGCCCAAAGAGGGGGACCUUCGGGCCUCUUGCCUUCGGCUGUGCCCAGAUGGGAUUAGCUAGUAGGUGGGGUAACGGCUCACCUAGGCGACGAUCCCUAGCUGGUCUGAGAGGAUGACCAGCCACACUGGAACUGAGACACGGUCCAGACUCCUACGGGAGGCAGCAGUGGGGAAUAUUGCACAAUGGGCGCAAGCCUGAUGCAGCCAUGCCGCGUGUAUGAAGAAGGCCUUCGGGUUGUAAAGUACUUUCAGCGGGGAGGAAGGGAGUAAAGUUAAUACCUUUACUUAUUGACGUUACCCGCAGAAGAAGCACCGGCUAACUCCGUG
rnacentral:rRNA from 1 species